GGGAUCGCAGCUGGUCUCAACCUUGGGCUUCACAUCUGGCACCACUGGAUAUGGUGCUGGUGUCGGUAGGUUC
rnacentral:tRNA from 1 species